UACGUAGGGUGCAAGCGUUGUCCGGAAUUAUUAGGCGUAAAGAGCUCGUAGGCGGUUUGUUGCGUCGGCUGUGAAAUCCCGAGGCUCAACCUCGGGUCUGCAGUCGAUACGAGCAAACUAGAGUGUUGGCAGGGGAGACUGGGAAUUCCUGGUGUAGCGGUGAAAGUGCGCAGAUAGUCAGGAGGAACACCGGUGGCGAAGGCGGGUCUCUGGG
rnacentral:rRNA from 1 species